CAGCAGCCGCGGUAAUACGAAGGGGGCUAGCGUUGUUCGGAAUUACUGGGCGUAAAGCGCACGUAGGCGGCUUUGUAAGUUAGAGGUGAAAGCCUGGUGCUCAACACCUGAACUGCCUUUGAUACUGCAUCGCUUGAAUCCAGGAGAGGUGAGUGGAAUUCCGAGUGUAGAGGUGAAAUUCGUAGAUAUUCGGAAGAACACCAGUGGCGAAGGCGGCUCACUGGACUGGUAUUGACGCUGAGGUGCGAAAGCGUGGGGAGCAAACAGGAUUAGAUACCCCAGUAGUCCCUGUCUCUUAUAC
rnacentral:rRNA from 1 species